AGGUGAUACUAUUAUUAUUAUUUACAAAGGAGGCAGGAAGAAGUUAAAUGAUUUGCUUAGGAUCUCAUACAUAGCAAGUAAAUGAUUGAGGCUGGAUCUGAAUGUGGAUCUUCCUACCUCCAGGCCUGGCAUCCAUUAUAGCAAUAAAGGGAGAUGGAAUCUCUAUAAAUAAUUCAAUAAAUGGCCAACCUAUUUCUGCUUGAAAACUUCCAUUUUUGAGGGAUUUGUUUUGGUUUGAAUUCUCUGGUUAACUGUCCUAAAACAAUUUAUUUUUUUGCUAGUUUUGAUCUGGCCAGUGAAUCAGUUGGGGCACCUAGGAAAGGUAUUUUAUUCAGCCUCCCUGUCUCCAAGAAACAUCAUACCUAAAUCAUGGCAAAGAGCAGAUAAUUACCUUUUUCAUGGUCACCAAGAAAGGUGACUCCAAAGACAUAUGAAAUCACAGGGUGCAAACAGAACAAAAAGGAAGCCUAGAACAUAGAAUGUAAGAACUGGAAGGUAGACAGGAUACAAUAUGGAGAAGAAUAGAGAAUGUUAGCCAUGGAAGGUUCAUUAGAGAUUAGCUUAGAGAUGCAGAAACUAAGGCCCAAGGAGUGACUUGGUUAAAGAAAUGUAGGUAAGUCAGUGGCUGAGUUUGGAUGAGAACCGGUAUUCUGAGCCUUCUGUUUCAUUGCUUAUUCUCUCUUGCUUUCAGAAGAUACCUUCAAGAUUCUAAUCAGAGGAAAUAUCAUUUAACAGAGGAAGAAGCAAGGAGACAAAAUCAAGCAGGGCUUUGCCUACAAAAAGCAUAAAGACAUAUGCUUUGGAAUCUUCAAGCACUGGAAUUAAUUGGAGAGGACCAAUGGGAGAGAAAAGGGGAGAAGAAUUCACCUGUGGUUGACUCUACAAAUUUGUUGGGCAUGUCUUCAUAAAAAUAGAGUGCUUGUUCUUAUGAUUUUGAUUGGACUUUAUGAAACAUUAAAUUGUAAAUAUCCUCCUUUGCAUCCCCUUGUACAGGAUUAAACAAAAUGUCUAACCUAUAACAAAUGUUGAAUUGAAAUGGAGCUUAAUGUAAAGGGGAGAUGAAGAUGUGGUGGGAACAAGGAUCCUCAGAACUUUUUGCCAAAGCUGAACUAGCCAGAGGAAGAAGAGAGAAAAUUCAACAAUCCCAUUUAAGUAGUGUCUUAUGAUUACAAAACAUUUUAUAUAUUGGGAUCAUUUGAUGCUCAGAGGUUCCCAAUGAGAAUGACCUUUGGUUUUUCAAUGUAAUUUUCUUUAUAAUAUUUUAUGUUUGAGGAUUCUCCCUUUGGUCUUUUCAGAGAUUGUGAGAAUUCUUUCUCUAGAGCUUGUGCUCUUUCCAAUGUCCCUAUUUUGCCACCUUUGUCUAUGGCCUCAUUAACAUCCUUAUAGGAAAUACAAAGAUAA